UACGUAGGGUGCGAGCGUUAAUCGGAAUUACUGGGCGUAAAGCGUGCGCAGGCGGCUUUGCAAGACAGAUGUGAAAGCCCCGGGCUCAACCUGGGAAUUGCAUUUGAAACUGGGAAACUAGAGUGUGUGAGAGGGGGGUAGAAUUCCAAGUGUAGCGGUGAAAUGCGUAGAUAUGCGGAGGAACACCGAUGGCGAAGGCAAUCCCCUGGGCCUGCACUGACGCUCAUGCACGAAAGCGUGGGGAGCAAACAGG
rnacentral:rRNA from 1 species